UGCAACCUCAGCUUCCUUGUAUAUAUGGUUUGUAAUUAUGGUUACUUGUUAAUAACAAUCAAAGUUAUUUAAUUUAAAGAUUGCUAAUGUUCUUAAAAUAGCUUAUACAGGUAAGCAUAAUUUAAAAACAGAAGUUCCUGUAGCUUUACUACUAACAAUCAUUGUGAUGAUAAAACGACGAAAACAGCUGAAUUCCUCAUGUUGAAUUCGUUAUAUUAUUUUUUAAGUUUCAGCCUUGUCUGAUCAUGAUUUUUUUUACUUCUUUUUUCUUUAUUUUUUUGUUAUUUUUUCUGACGUUUUUAGAGUUGAAUCCUAAUUUUUUAAAAAGUUGUAUUUUAAUAUAUUUCCCAUAAGGUAAGUUAAAAAUUUUAGGUUGCUUUUCAAGUUUAAGGAUGAUACCUAAGACGCAACGGGCGGACUAAAUGGGUUACUACAAUGCUUCAACUGUACAAUGAAGUUGUAACUCACAUGUUGUUAUCGUGUCUUACUGAAAUACUUGAUUAGCAUUAAAUUUUGUCUUUUUUUUUUUUGUUUGUAUCUAAAGUAUUAACUAAGAUUUUAGAUUUUACAUAGUUACUAUUGUGCUACAUUUUUGGUUCAGUAAAUCUCAAAUAGACCGUUUUAAUAGAUAGCAACUUGCCAUGAUGAGCCAUUUUAUAUUUUGUAUUCACACUGUCUGAAUUUCUUGAAGAUAUACUGAAACUCUGAGCAAAGCCUGAUUAUUCAUUCGUUUCUUACAUUUGGUAGUCAACAAUAUUGUUAUAUUCCUUCUCAUAGUUAAUACGUCUAUUUAAAUCCAAGUAUGCUACUAAGAAAAUCCUGGAUAUAGUAACAUAAGAUCAAGUCGAUACCAUAAUUUAUAAUUUGA